CAUGACACAGUUAAGAAAAAUAAUGAGGAAAGUGAAUCAUUAGCUACUAUGUCAUAAUGGUACAAAAAGAUUCCAAGUUACUGUCCAUAGGAGGCAAUGAUGCCACGUAAGCAACCUCCCUGCACUCUCCCAGGGGUUCACAGGGUGAAUUCAGUGCCAGAUAGCUGCUGACUGGGAGGGAGGAGGAGCAGGACCAGUAACGGGCACUUGAACGGUCCAUGAUGACUUUCAGAGUGCUUUUUGCUUGGAUGUACUCUGGCCAACUCGGAUGCCGCAGGGAAAGGUCCCAGCUCCUACCAAAUCCUGCAGUAGCUGAGGAAAUUGAGCACUUAAGCGACUAGUCUGUUGGCAUCAUUCCUGCUGAGCAGGUCAUCUUCUGUAGCUUGCAAAUCCCUAAAUCCCUCCUGAGACCAUGGAGGGGAGCAGACACAGCAGCAUCAAUCAAAAGACUGACAGCUGUGAUUCAUACUGAAGUGUUUCCUGCUAGAGCAGGAAAUGAGCUAAUAGAGCUAAUAGAGCUAAUGCAGGUGGCCUCUUCAGACAGAGGCUUUUUUUUUCUUUUCUUUUCUUUUUUUUUUUUUUUCCAGUUCUAUUAUGUCUUUCUUGUGGAAGGCACAGUUAUUCUUAUGUCUCCUUGUUCAUUUGGCUUGUUGGAGUAACCCUGCAGUAAAGGAUUGGAAAAACUUGUGGAUCUUCCCCUUUGGAUCUGCCUUGGGAGGUGGUUUGGACUACAGUGUGAUUUAUAUGUGCGGAGUGACAUACACCUGCUUACACACCAGCCUGGUUUGCACACCGGAGUCACGCUGGCUUAAGGUGGGCAGGAAAAUAAUCAUCUUGGAGGACUUUCCACUUCAAUCAUUGCACCACAGGAGAGCCUUAGUUUGUGUCUGAAUCAAACCUCUCAGGGAAUCCUUUCAAGGCCAUUUUCUUUUUCUGAGAAAUGGCUGAUCUUUUCUGAAGCACACGCAUAAGCACAAAGCAGAAUUAGCCCUCUGAGCAUCUGCUUUACAUGAGUUCAUCUCAUCCUGCCAAGCCUGCGUGUUUGUGGCUGCCUGUGGACCCAGUCUUCCCACCCUCCCACUUCUUGGGGCUUCAGCAUCUGCCAAUUGACUCUCUCAAUUGAGUCUGUAAGAUGGAACUAUUAAAAAUAUUGUUUGUCUUUGAAAUUGAAACUCAAAGGAGGGUUUUUAUUUUUUACCUAGAUCAUUGGUCCCAUGAGUUUACAUUGAUGUGUGGGAGGGAGGGAUGUAGAUUAGCUUGGAAGCAAGAGGAAGAGAUGAAGAAAGGUAUUAGUUAGGUCCACUCCCCCGCCAGACCUAGUAUUUUAUGAAACCACUUGCUUUGUAGUGAACCAGCCAUUUCCAUUUACUCCUUCUGUUUUUGUCUCUAUGUACCUUUCUUACAAAGUUUAGUGCUGUGUGUGUUUACGAGAUGAUUGAAGGCAGCCAGAGUUGUACUGCUCCAAACAAUAAAUGAAACUUUACUGCCCUGAAGAAAUGUUUU
rnacentral:lncRNA from 1 species